CAGCCGCCGCGGUAAUACGUAGGGUGCAAGCGUUGUCCGGAAUUAUUGGGCGUAAAGAGCUCGUAGGCGGUCUGUCGCGUCGGAUGUGAAAAUCCAGGGCUCAACCCUGGACCUGCAUUCGAUACGGGCAGACUAGAGUUCGGUAGGGGAGACUGGAAUUCCUGGUGUAGCGGUGAAAUGCGCAGAUAUCAGGAGGAACACCGGUGGCGAAGGCGGGUCUCUGGGCCGAAACUGACGCUGAGGAGCGAAAGCGUGGGGAGCAAACAGGAUUAGAUACCCUGGUAGUCCACGCCGUAAACGUUGGGCGCUAGGUGUGGGGAACCUUCCACGUUCUCCGUGCCGCAGCUAACGCAUUAAGCGCCCCGCCUGGGGAGUACGGCCGCAAGGCUAAAACUCAAAGGAAUUGACGG
rnacentral:rRNA from 1 species